rnacentral:tRNA from 1 species
CCGGUACCUGGUGGGGUCGCGCGCGCAGACCUUCGAGCGGUUGACGGCACUCGUGGUGCCGGCCGACGGUUCGACGCCGACGGUCGUGGU